AAUUACUACACAGCUUUUUUGAGCAUCCGUGUCCGUCAGUACACCUCAGCACACACACCUGCCAAGUGGGUGACCUGCCUGCGGGACUACUGCCUAAUGCCUGACCCACACAGUGAGGAGGGAGCCCAGGAGUAUGUAUCGCUGUUCAAGUAUCAGAUGCUGUGUGACAUGGCUAGAGUAUCGGAGCUACGCCUGAUUCUGCGGCAGCCAUCACCACUGUGGCUGUCUUUCACAGUGGAGGAGCUGCAGAUCUAUCAGCAGGGACCAAAGAGCCCCUCCGUGACCUUUCCCAAGUGGCUCUCCCACCCAGUGCCCUGUGAGCAACCUGCACUCCUCCGUGAGGUAAGCCCUCACCCUAGGUAAGAACCAUGUGUGAAUGGCUCUAGUGUCCAACACAGGCCAGGUAGACCC
rnacentral:sRNA from 1 species